rnacentral:rRNA from 1 species
ACGGCUCAGUAACACGUGGCUAACCCGCCCUUGGGACGAGAACAACCCCGGGAAACUGGGGCUAACUCUCGAUAGGCGAAGAACUCUGGAAUGAGUCUUCACCCAAACAGUUUAAGGUUAUGCUCUUUAAACUGCCCAAGGAUGGGGCCGCGACCGAUCAGGUUGUUGGUGAGGUAAUGGCUCGCCAAGCCUUUUACCGGUGCGGGCCGUGGGAGCGGGAGCCCGGAGAUGGGCACUGAGACAGGGGCCCAGGCCCUACGGGGCGCAGCAGUCGCGAAAACUUUGCAAUAAGCGAAAGCUUGACAGGGCUAUCCCGAGUGCCAUCCGCUGAGGAAGGCUUUUACCCAGUCUAGAACGCUGGGGGAAUAAGGAGAGGGCAAGUCUGGUGUCAGCCGCCGCGGUAAUACCAGCUCUCCGAGUGGUGUGGAUGUUUAUUGGGCCUAAAGCAUCCGUAGCUGGCUAGGUUAGUCCCCUGUUAAAUCCACCGAAUUAAUCGUUGGAUUGCGGGGGAUACUGCUUGGCUAGGGGACGAGAGAGGCAGACGGUAUUUCCGGGGUAGGGGUGAAAUCCUAUAAUCCCGGGAAGACCACCAGUGGCGAAGGCUGUCUGCUAGAACGCGCCCGACGGUGAGGGAUGAAAGCUGGGGGAGCGAACCGGAUUAGAUACCCGGGUAGUCCCAGCUGUAAACGAUGCAGACUAGGUGUUUGAACGGCCACGUGCCGUUCUAGUGCCGCAGGGAAGCUGUUAAGUCUGCCGCCUGGGGAGUACGAUCGCAAGAUUGAAACUUAAAGGAAUUGGCGGGGGAGCAC